UACGGAGGGUGCGAACGUUGCUCGGAAUUAUUGGGCGUAAAGCGCGUGUAGGCGGCACGUUAAGUCGGGUGUGAAAGCCCUGGGCCUAACCCAGGAAGUGCACUCGAAACUGGCAAGCUAGAGUACGGGAGAGGGUAGUGGAAUUCCCGGUGUAGAGGUGAAAUUCGUAGAUAUCGGGAGGAACACCAGUGGCGAAGGCGGCUACCUGGACCGAUACUGACGCUGAGACGCGAAAGCGUGGGUAGCAAACAGG
rnacentral:rRNA from 1 species